rnacentral:rRNA from 1 species
ACGGAGGGGGCUAGCGUUAUCCGGAUUUACUGGGCGUAAAGGGUGCGUAGGCGGUCGUUCAAGUCAGGAGUGAAAGGCUACGGCUCAACCGUAGUAAGCUCUUGAAACUGGGAGACUUGAGUGCAGGGGAGGAGAGUGGAAUUCCUAGGGUAGCGGUGAAAUGCGUAGAUAUUAGGAGGAACACCAGUUGCGAAGGCGGCUCUCUGGACUGUAACUGACGCUGAGGCACGAAAGCGUGGGGAGCAAACAGGAUUAGAUACCCUGGUAGUCCACGCUGUAAACGAUGAGUACUAGGUGUCGGGGGUUACCCCCUUCGGGGCCGCAGCUAACGCAUUAAGUACUCCGCCUGGGAAGUACGCUCGCAAGAGUGAAACUCAAAG